UACGUAGGGUGCGAGCGUUAAUCGGAAUUACUGGGCGUAAAGCGUGCGCAGGCGGUUCGUUGUGUCGGCGGUGAAAGCCCCGGGCUUAACCUGGGAAUGGCCGUUGAAACUGGCGAACUGGAGUGUGGCAGAGGGGGGCGGAAUUCCGCGUGUAGCAGUGAAAUGCGUAGAGAUGCGGAGGAACACCGAUGGCGAAGGCAGCCCCCUGGGCUAACACUGACGCUCAGGCACGAAAGCGUGGGGAGCAAACAGG
rnacentral:rRNA from 1 species